rnacentral:tRNA from 1 species
GCCGGUCGCAAGGUGGCCGUACCUGACGAAGCAUUCCAUUGCGGACUUCCGAAGGUGGACGCGAGUUCGAUUCUCGCACCGGCA